AACUGUUACGAAUAUAGGAAUGUGUAAUCUAAGGUUGUAACUUAAAAGGAAGAUAGCUUAAGGUUUGUUCUCAAAACGCAACGUUAUAUUGCAUAAUACUGCUCAAUAUUUUAAAAAUUUAAUCCUUCUAACUACAGAUAAUAUUCAUCUCAACAUAAAAUAAUGAGGAUAAACAAUGUUUUAACAAAAUCAUGUCUGGUUAACAAUCAGUUCCGCAGAUACGUGGCUACAACUGAAAAACCAAAAGACAUUACAUCUAAUGUUAAAGGUUUGAGUUCCAAGGUUAUCAUUUCUAACCCACCAGCAGAACGUGUAAAGAAAGCAGCAAAAAACGGUCCCUACAAGAAUCCACAAUAUUUCAGUUACCACAAAAAUUCAUAUUUUGAUGCUGAGAUUGAAAUGCACAAAUACAGAUUACCACAACCUUCAAGUUUAAAGUAGAAAAUGUAAGAUUUUCUAUAAAAUAAUAAGUUGAUCUAAAAAUUUGAACCGAUCACCAUGGUUUUUUAUAAAAUAUUGUUAAGAUAUGUACCAAUGAUAACUUUCCCAGUAGCUUUUGUUGCUGGUAUUAUUGGUUACAAUG